GACGAACGCUGGCGGCGUGCCUAAUACAUGCCAGUAGAACGCUGAAGAGAGGAGCUUGCUCUUCUUGGAUGAGUUGCGAACGGGUGAGUAACGCGUAGGUAACCUGCCUUGUAGCGGGGGAUAACUAUUGGAAACGAUAGCUAAUACCGCAUAACAAUGGAUGACACAUGUCAUUUAUUUGAAAGGGGCAAUUGCUCCACUACAAGAUGGACCUGCGUUGUAUUAGCUAGUAGGUGAGGUAAUGGCUCACCUAGGCGACGAUACAUAGCCGACCUGAGAGGGUGAUCGGCCACACUGGGACUGAGACACGGCCCAGACUCCUACGGGAGGCAGCAGGAGGGAAUCUUCGGCAAUGGGGGCAACCCUGACCGAGCAACGCCGCGUGAGUGAAGAAGGUUUUCGGAUCGUAAAGCUCUGGUGUAAGUCAAGAACGGGUGUGAGAGUGGAAAGUUCACACUGUGACGGUAGCUUACCAGAAAGGGACGGCUAACUACGUG
rnacentral:rRNA from 1 species